rnacentral:piRNA from 1 species
UGUUGUUUCUGAACUUAUUGU